UGGGGAAUAUUGCACAAUGGGCGCAAGCCUGAUGCAGCCAUGCCGCGUGUAUGAAGAAGGCCUUCGGGUUGUAAAGUACUUUCACCGGGGAGGAAGGGAGUAAAGUUAAUACCUUUGCUCAUUGACGUUACCCGCAGAAGAAGCACCGGCUAACUCCGUGCCAGCAGCCGCGGUAAUACGGAGGGUGCAAGCGUUAAUCGGAAUUACUGGGCGUAAAGCGCACGCAGGCGGUUUGUUAAGUCAGAUGUGAAAUCCCCGGGCUCAACCUGGGAACUGCAUUCGAAACUGGCAGGCUAGAGUCUUGUAGAGGGGGGUAGAAUUCCAGGUGUAGCGGUGAAAUGCGUAGAGAUCUGGAGGAAUACCGGUGGCGAAGGCGGCCCCCUGGACAAAGACUGACGAUCAGGUGCGAAAGCGUGGGGAGCAAACAGG
rnacentral:rRNA from 1 species